rnacentral:lncRNA from 1 species
AUUAGUUGAAAGAACCUAAAAAUAAGUCUUAUACAAAGCAAAUAAAGAAAAGAAAAAAGAUAUAUGUUUACUUGAGCUGAGAAAAUCAUGUUAUUAAAAAUUAUGGAGAGUUUGAAGAAAGUGCUUACUUGGCAGUCUAUUGAGUUGUCGAGCGUCUGUAACUUGUGAGGAACUGAGAAGACCCAUUAAUAAGAAAAGAGCCAUAAUUAUAAUUCUUGUGGAAGCCAUUUGUGGAGAAGACCAUCAAAGUAUUUGUCCAAAACUCAAUUGGGAUUUAAUUAAUUUAUUAUGAGCAAGCAGGUUUAUAUAUACAAGCUGAAGAGACAGUGCUUUUGUGUGCUUUGUCAUG